UGCAGAGAAAUCUACUUUUACCCCUCUUUGAAGCCGUGAAAACCUUCAGCCCUUGCUUGUCAUUAACCGAGUCAGGACCAGAACCCCCACACGGAUGUACCGUGUCCCCGACUGCUCCUCUGCUCUGCCUCUGCCCACACGCCAGCUUGUGGAGACAUAAAUGUUCGUGUCCCUGGCUGGCCUGGAACUCACCAUGUAGACCAGGCUGGCCUGGAAGUCACAGAGAUUCACCUGCCUCUGCCUCCUUGAGUUCUGGGAACAUGGAUCUGAUUUUAAGCUUUCCCCUGACCUGUCACGAGCAGAUGCCUCACCCUGUCCCGAGUUAGCUGGAAUGUCACCUCUGGCAAGAAGCCUUUCUAACUCUGUCAGGGUCAGUCACUCCUCAGGAGUCUACAGUUCCAUCUGAUCAUGUUUGAGAAUGCUUCCUAGAUUUGCCAGCCACGCAGAGGCCAUGCUAAUGUCCGUGCUGUUCUGACUGUGUGUGUGUGUGUAUGUGUGUGUGACCAAAGCACUCAAUGAGCUUUUCGACCUAUUUGCUCAGAGUAAAGGCCUCCCUCUUCUCCUGGGGGAUUCCAAAGCAAUCUCUCCAAAGCAGAGACUCUCAUCUCAGGAUCCCUGUGUCUGGGGACCGUGUGCAGGCUGAGGAGAGAGAGUUAUGACUUCCUUGACACUGGCUGGGAAUGUUUCAGGGCUGUUUAUUUCCUCGCAUCCUACAACAGCCUGUCUCUGAAUAUCUGUGUGGAGUGCAGUCACUCCACACAGCCACCGUGAGAAAGAAGGCAAGACUGAAGCAGCAAUGGGGAAAUUAAAUCUCAGAGAGGGCAAAGGAUCUGGCCCAGGUCACACAGCUGUGUAGAGGUCAGAUUGAAUCCAGACCCUGAGGUUCCUGGUGCCCAGGCAAGCCCUGAGCAUAUUCUAACAAGGGCGUUCUGAGUUCCACCCUCCAAUGAAGUCACUUGCUCUUCUGCUUGCUGGUUGAAUGAACAUUUGGAGCAAGGCUGCGGUUCUUUGUCUUUUGUUUUUCUUUUCCAAAAGUAACAAAUACUUCAGUGUCCUUAUGACAGCGAAAUCUAGUUCGCAUCACUGUUAUUAAAACUGUGAUUUAACAAAGAGCUUUUAUUACAAAAAUAAAUUUCGCUAAUAACCGGC